rnacentral:rRNA from 1 species
UACGGAGGGAGCUAGCGUUAUUCGGAAUUACUGGGCGUAAAGCGCACGUAGGCGGCUUUGUAAGUAAGAGGUGAAAGCCCAGAGCUCAACUCUGGAAUUGCCUUUUAGACUGCAUCGCUUGAAUCAUGGAGAGGUCAGUGGAAUUCCGAGUGUAGAGGUGAAAUUCGUAGAUAUUCGGAAGAACACCAGUGGCGAAGGCGGCUGACUGGACAUGUAUUGACGCUGAGGUGCGAAAGCGUGGAGAGCAAACAGG